GUCUCAUUUCUUUGUUUCAGGAACCAGUGUUUGUAGCCGGUGACUCACCCCUUCUCCCCUUCUCCGGCCUCAUCAAGAAUCAAAUCUGUGCCCAAGGACCCCCUGCCCCUAGAGCUUCCUGGUCGCAGCUGAGUGAAGGGCCUGGCUGAGGAGGAGAUGAAGGGCCUGCCUGGCAGAGGCCCCGAGGCUCGGAUCCCUCACACCCAGGAUCACACAGGAGACUCCUCCAGAUGGGCUUGGACUGGUCCUGGAGGCCGGGCUGUGCUGCUGACUGGUGCACCAGCAUGGCCAGAAACAGCCCAGAGGGGAGCCAGGAGAGACCUGGCCCUCACCACCCACCCUCGGUCCCACAUCUGCUCUGACACUGGUUGCUGUCAGCCCAGGUUCUCAGAGCUCCUGAGACUGAAAACCACAGGAGUGUGGUCAGCCCAAGGGACGGUGUGGCCCAGUCUCACAACAUCUGCCCUACUCAGCUGCCCAGCUGGAGCCUGGGGCCUGGGUGAAGUCCUCCUCCUGCCUCACCACAGGACUGGGGACCCAGGCUCCCACGUGCCCCCUGCAGUUUCCCACUAACAGGGCCUGAUGGCUUCCUUCCUUGUGCCAAGUCGCCUGGGAGUCCCUGGUCCUGGUGGCCCCUCCACCCCAGCCCUGUCCAACCAGGACCACUUCUGGGAGCCUGCCAGCCUGCCUGCCAACUCCAUCCGUAGCUCUCUGGGGACAGCCGCAGAAAAAGGGGAGCAACACGGCUGUAUAAGAUGGGAGGAGGACCAGGGGCCUCCUUGGGGAUGAGACACAGAUGUGCCCCUUUCAAGCCCAGGUCUCACCCUCUGGGUGACUCCAUCCUCAGCUCCAGCCUCUUCCUGGGCUGGCCAGGGAGGAAGAAGACCUGAGAAUGGCAUGAGGGAGGCUCCUCACUGAAUGUGUGCUGGUGUCCCACAGGGAGAAAUAUGUCUCUGAACCUCAGGGUCCCCUGGCCCCAUAGACCUGCUCCCCUGCCAGGAAGCUCUUCCCCAUCCAGGGGACACAGGAAGUCCGCUGUGGCUCUGGCUGUGGCUGUCUCUGCUCAAAGGGAAUGGCUGGGGGAGGGGCCAGCCACCAGUCCUUAGCCUGUUCCUGUGCUGCUUUUCUUACCAUUUUGGCCUUGAGUAGUGUGAGCUGCUUCUGCUCUCCCACCUCCCUCCAACCCCACUGGGCCCUGGCUGCUUGACUGGCUCUCAGUGCACUUUACUUGUUAGUCAUCUGUUUUCCAGGCAGCGGAAAUUCUACGCAGAGACACCAACCUGAAUAGGAUAACUCAGUUUUCUGUGUGUGUUCACUCUGUACUGGUCAGAAAUGUUCUUGUUUCUGGUGUUGUCAAAACUUGUUGUCUAAGUUAUUAAAAAGUCCUUAAGUUCAAUAAAAUAAAUAAAACUGGAA